GUAUGUGGUUAAUUCGAUGCAACGCGAAGAACCUUACCUGGCCUUGACAUCCCGGAGACCCUUAGGAAACUAGGGGGUGCUUCCAUCUGGAAGAAUCUGGAGACAGGUGCUGCAUGGCUGUCGUCAGCUCGUGUCGUGAGAUGUUGGGUUAAGUCCCGCAACGAGCGCAGCCCUUGCCUUUAGUUGCCAGCAGUUCGGCUGGGCACUCUAAAGGGACUGCCGGUGUUAAACCGGAGGAAGGUGGGGGAUGACGUCAAGUCCUCAUGGCCUUUAUGACCAGGGCUACACACGUACUACAAUGGCCGAUACAAAGGGCAGCGACACUGCGAGGUGAAGCCAAUCCCGUAAAAUCGGUCUCAGUCCGGAUUGGAGUCUGCAACUCGACUCCAUGAAGUUGGAAUCGCUAGUAAUCGUGGAUCAGCAUGCCACGGUGAAUACGUUCCCGGGCCUU
rnacentral:rRNA from 1 species